CCUACGGGAGGCAGCAGUGGGGAAUUUUGGACAAUGGGCGAAAGCCUGAUCCAGCAAUGCCGCGUGAGUGAAGAAGGCCUUCGGGUUGUAAAGCUCUUUUGUCAGGGAAGAAACGGUGAGGGCUAAUAUCCCUUGCUAAUGACGGUACCUGAAGAAUAAGCACCGGCUAACUACGUGCCAGCAGCCGCGGUAAUACGUAGGGUGCAAGCGUUAAUCGGAAUUACUGGGCGUAAAGCGUGCGCAGGCGGUUUUGUAAGUCUGUCGUGAAAUCCCCGGGCUCAACCUGGGAAUUGCGAUGGAGACUGCAAGGCUAGAAUCUGGCAGAGGGGGGUUAGAAUUCCACGUGUAGCAGUGAAAUGCGUAGAGAUGUGGAGGAACACCGAUGGCGAAGGCAGCCCCCUGGGUCAAGAUUGACGCUCAUGCACGAAAGCGUGGGGAGCAAACAGGAUUAGAUACCCUGGUAGUCCACGCCCUAAACGAUGUCUACUAGUUGUCGGGUUUUAAUUAACUUGGUAACGCAGCUAACGCGUGAAGUAGACCGCCUGGGGAGUACGGUCGCAAGNUUAAAACUCAAAGGAUUGACGGNUGAGAGNGCGAGACGACGACGAGGGAGGAGG
rnacentral:rRNA from 1 species